CACGUAGGGCGCGAGCGUUGUCCGGAAUUAUUGGGCGUAAGGAGCUCGUAGGCGGCCUGUUGCGUCCGCUGUGAAAGCCCGGGGCUUAACCCCGGGUCGCAGUGGAUACGGGCAGGCUAGAGGUAGGUAGGGGAGAAUGGAAUUCCCGGUGUAGCGGUGAAAUGCGCAGAUAUCGGGAGGAACACCGGUGGCGAAGGCGGUUCUCUGGGCCUUACCUGACGCUGAGGAGCGAAAGCGUGGGGAGCGAACAGG
rnacentral:rRNA from 1 species